AUGAUGUUUCAGCCCAAAUCAAAGAUCAUUUUCAAAUUUCAAGAUUUGCCUAAUCAAUUGCACCUUAGGGAAUCAAGCCCAAGAGGUUGGACAUAUUGCUUCUAAGGAAAGUGACUAUAUAUAUUAUCAAUUUACUAGGAUGUUUUUGAGAUGGGCACUGUAAAUAAUACCCCACAAUAAUAGAUAUAAACUAAAAGCCAUUCAAGGCAAGCCAGGAUGGUUGUCAUAGAUUUUUGUACCUUCAGAUUCUUGUAAGAUUUACUGGGCACCAAGUACAUGGCAGGUAUAAAUGAAUACACACACACACACAUACACACACACACACUAUUGUUAAUGCUUAGUUGCUAAGUUGUGCCUGAUUUUCCAGGCGAGAAUCCUGGAGUGGAUUGCCAUUUCUUUCUCCAGAGCAUCUUCCCAACCCAGGGAUCGAAUCCACAUCUCCUGCAUCUGCUGCACUGGCAGGGGAAUCUUUACCACUGUGCCACCUGGGAAGCCCAUAAAUAAUAUGUGUGUGUGUGUGUGUGUGUAUAUGUAUGUAUGUAUAUAUAACACAUCCUUAAAAGAUGAUGCAAAGACACAAAUUGAAUUCCAGUCUCCAAAGCCACAGAAGCACUCUUCAGAACAACGAUAUUACAGAAAUCCCAAAUCUGUUCCCUAG
rnacentral:lncRNA from 1 species